rnacentral:lncRNA from 10 species
UAAUGACAUGCGGUGGGAUCCUCUCUCACAAUGCUGGGAAGCCACAGAGAGCCACAUCUCCCAGUUGGCACACCAUCAUGAAUGUAGACAACUGAGAUUUGACAGUGUUCCUUUUUGCCAGAACUCCUUAAUGAUACACCAGAGAGAUUACAAUGGAAAUGCUAAGGAAAGGAACAGCUGGCAUCUCUCCUUGAAAUCCUAUGAG